rnacentral:lncRNA from 1 species
GAGGUGCUGUUAUAUAACACAGGCACUGUAUAGCAGCCUUAGGUUAUGAAUAUUAAGAGACAAUCUCAAAUGAGAUAAUAUCAAUAAAGACCUCCUGUCGUCUCUACCCAAGAAAUAAACUAAAGGAAGGCAGUGUCCUUGCAGGCAUUUUGACAUCAGGGAUGGGCAAAAACAUACAUCCAUUUAAGAAUUCUAGAAUCAGAGACUAGGAAGAGUUGAAACAACCUUACAGAUCACUUGAUGCACUUUAUAUAGACCCAGGGGAGAAACAAAAAGACCAACUACUAAAGCUGCUAAAACAAGAUAAAGCAUACUGCAAGGGAAAGGCUGGAGCAGUUCACUGGCUGAAGUUAUAAACUCCAUCAAGAGACACACAAUCAGAUGGCACAACUGUCUUCAGUGGGUCACAGUUUUCCAAAUACAAAGGCGGUGCCUACCGAAGCUCUGGGAUUCUGGAAAAUAUACUGGACUUGGAGUAAGACAAUCUCAGUCCAUGUUCCUAGUUCUAGGAUUUUAGGCAUAACACUUGGCUUUUAGGGCAUUGUAUUUUCUUUAUAGUAACAUGGUAUUAAAAUGAUGCCUAUCAACAGGCUUGUCAGGAUGAGUCAACAGCAUAUUAGAUGGGAAAACACCAUAAAGUACAAAAGGCUUGUUAUCGUCAGUCUCCUUUGGUUGUUAUAUUGGUUAAGAGGACUAAUUGUUGCCUCUCUCCAAGUUCAGAACUAAUUCAAACAUACAUAGAGGAGUCAGAGGUGGAUCAAACAUUAUUUUUAUUACUAGUUAAGUUGGAUUUAAGAACAUGGCUUGACUUAUAGCUUCCUACUGUAUCCUAUAACACACUAUUUUUUCAUAUUCUGCCCUUUCUCCUUGAUUAUACUAUAAGCUUUUGGAGAGAAGAAAUUAUGCUUUAUAUCUCUCUGCAUCCCUAGAGUUUUUCACACAGCCAUAACCCCAGCAGGUGUGCUAUCUGAUAAAGGAGACUGCAUUUGUACCACAGUUUUCUAUGUGAAGCCUUUUUUCUCCACUGGCCUGGGAACUCUUGGAGGGCAGGGUUCAUGUCUUUUCAUUCCCAGUGCUUAGCAUAAUACCUAGCACAUAGUAGAUUCUUUAUAAAAGUGUGUUGAAAGAUCAUGAAAACAGAAGGGUACCAAAUGAUCUGGUGCCACCCAGGGGUUGCAGAGAGGGAUUUAUUUAUUUUUUAUUUUUUUUUUAGGAUUAUUAUGAAUAACAGUGAAUAUAAAUAUGGAUUGAAAAUAGUCCUUUUGGUGAUUUCAAAAUUUUCUGGUUGGCCUCUGAGACAGGUGGCAUCUUAAUGAAAGAGGGGAAGCUCCCCAUCUGGGAAGGCUCAGAAGUGGGGCCUACCCUAUUUCCUUAACACUCAGGACACUAGGAAGCCUUGCAGUUUACUUGUAUCCAAGUGAGGGGAUUUGCCUAUUCUGUUAUCUACUUUGAAAUGUUAGCUCCUAAAACAUGGGCAGGUAGCUUAAAAAGACAUCUGAAAUAAACACUGGAUUGAAGGCAAUGCUAAUAAUGGAAGCACAAGUGAACAACAAGCAAAAGGCAGGCUGACACUUCUAUUAUUCUUGAUAUAAACUUUUCUUCAACCAUGUUAUAAAGUAAAAAAUAACGAUGAACUAAGCAGAGAGGGAUUUAAAGGAGGGCUGUCUUCUAAGGAUCCCAUUCUUGACAGUUUGUUCAUUUGGAAAAUAGCACUACCUGCAAAUUAUUGUGAUUGAAGGUUUUAUUUGAGACAGUUUUCCCCAGGAGAAACUUCAGCUUCUGUUUACUUGUUAGGCACCCUGGCUAUCUGGGCAUCUGAGCCCUGGACAUCUUAAUUAGAGUUGGUCUGCUAAUGUCCAUAGCAGAGAGGAACUGUCACUUGGUAAUUAAGUUAGAGCCAUGACAGAAGCCUGUGACAUCUGAUGUUUCAGAAUAUAACAACCCUUGUUCUUCUCCCAAGGGAUGCACACACCAUGAAACAAUUUCCUUUGGAGUUGCUGGUAGAAUCUGCUAACAUAAUAUCUAAGAUGAGAUGGCAUGCAGAGGUCUCUGUAAGGGGUGAGGACCUCAAAACACUCUUGUGAAGUAUGCUGCUCCUCAGUUCAGGGCCUUGCAGAGGAUCUGAGACAACAAACCUUCCUAUACAGAUAAACUCUCGGUGCCUCAGUGGAGUGAGUGCAUGAGAUGUGGCUUACUCAGCUGUGGCCACCUGGGCAGGGUUGUUGUGGAGUCAGGUCCUCUGCUUUAUGUGAUUGUUUCUGUGUUUUUUAAGCCCUGAGCUGUGCUUCCAGAGAUGUCUGCACCUGUGCACUGCAUUUUGGACUAUAUGCUCUGUGGACGCUGUGAGAAUCCCCUAACUUUGCUUUUUUUUUUUUAGGACAAAUCAGAAUAAAACAAUUCAACUUUCAAGGUAUUAAAAGGAUUCAC